AGGAGAUAAGGAGGGGCGGUUUCAAGGCGCCCCCCACGGCGAACCCCGUUGGCCCCAGAGCAAAAGGAGAGUCAAGAGUGACUAAAUCAAAGGGAAUACGGUAAAAGGGGGGAAAUUACACGUUGUAUUAAAUGUAGAGGCUAGAUUCGCGGAAUGGUGCAAUAACAACUUUGUGUUUGGAAAAUGGAGGAGUGAACGGCAACAAGAACCGGAAAACAGCGCUGCUUCGAGGGGGCUCCUUCUUCUACAAACACGAAGAGAGAAAACUUUUGGUCAACAAAGAAGACUGGAAAGAGUGCGAUAGGUCUGUUGAGGAACUACAUUAUAACAUUUCCUCACGUAAAUGUUAAAACAUUGACGAUGUUGGAAGACCAACGUGCACGAGUCUUCCUCCGCGGUGAGGAGCCACACAUCCCGGCCGCUUUACUGUCGCCCAGUCCGGCCAGCCGAAGCAGUGUCUCCCUGCUCUGUGGACGUGGAGUUUGUGCACCAAUGUGCCAAAAUUGAAAAUGUAAUAAAUAAAUACACCAAA